UACGGAGGGUGCAAGCGUUAUCCGGAUUCACUGGGUUUAAAGGGUGCGUAGGCGGGCAUGUAAGUCAGUGGUGAAAUCUCCGGGCUUAACCCGGAAACUGCCGUUGAUACUAUGUGUCUUGAAUAUCGUUGAGGUUUGCGGAAUAUGUCAUGUAGCGGUGAAAUGCUUAGAUAUGACAUAGAACACCAAUUGCGAAGGCAGCAGGCUAACCGAACAUUGACGCUGAGGCACGAAAGCGUGGGGAUCAAACAGG
rnacentral:rRNA from 1 species